AUUGAACGCUGGCGGCAUGCUUUACACAUGCAAGUCGAACGGUAACAGGGUGCUUGCACCGCUGACGAGUGGCGAACGGGUGAGUAAUGCGUCGGAACGUGCCGAGUAGUGGGGGAUAACGCAUCGAAAGGUGUGCUAAUACCGCAUACGUACUGAGGUAGAAAGUGGGGGACCUUCGGGCCUCACGCUAUUCGAUCGGCCGACGUCUGAUUAGCUAGUUGGUGAGGUAAAGGCUCACCAAGGCGACGAUCAGUAGCGGGUCUGAGAGGAUGAUCCGCCACACUGGGACUGAGACACGGCCCAGACUCCUACGGGAGGCAGCAGUGGGGAAUUUUGGACAAUGGGCGCAAGCCUGAUCCAGCCAUGCCGCGUGUCUGAAGAAGGCCUUCGGGUUGUAAAGGACUUUUGUCCGGGAGCAAAUACCCAGUGCUAAUAACGCUGGGGGCUGAGAGUACCGGAAGAAUAAGCACCGGCUAACUACGUGCCAGCCGCCGCGGUAAGAC
rnacentral:rRNA from 1 species